CGUUGAGGAUUUUGGCGUCGUUCUCGUCCGACACGAAGGUGAUGGCCAAGCCCUUGGUGCCGAAACGCCCGGCCCGCGCCACCUGCCCGGCAACGGCGCGCUCAGAGGGACCCCGCGAGCCCCCCGGCUGCGGGGGCAGCCCAGGAACAGCCGGAGCUCGCGGAAACACCCGGAACUCGCACGGAAACAGCCGGAAUUCACCCAAAAACCACCACAGGAACUCACACGGAAACAACCGGAAUUCACCCAAAAACAACCGGAACUCACACGGAAACAACCGGAAUUCACACGGAAACCACCACAGGAACUCACGGAAACACCCGGAACUCACACAGAAACCACACGGAAUUCACCCAGGAACAGCCGGAACUCACGGAAACAACCGGAAUUCACCCAGAAACACCCGGAACUCACACAGAAACCACCCCAGGAACAGCCGGAACUCACAGAAACACACGGAACUCGCACGGAAACAGCCGGAAUUCACACAGAAACCAACACAGGAACACCCGGAACUCACGGAAACACCCGGAAUUCACCCAAAAACAACCGGAAUUCACCCAGAAACCACCACAGGAACAGCCGGAACUCACGGAAACAACCGGAAUUCACACAGAAACCACCCCAGGAACACCCGGAACUCACGGAAACACCCGGAACUCACACGGAAACAACCGGAACUCACACGGAAAUACCCGGAAUUCACACAGAAACCACCACAGGAACACCCGAAACUCACACGGAAACAACCGGAAUUCACACAGAAACACCCGGAAUUCACCCAAAAACCACCACAGAAACACCUGGAACUCAUGGAAACAACCGGAAUUCACACGGAAACAACCGGAACUCGCACGGAAACCACCCCAGGAACAGCCGGAACUCACAGAAACACACGGAACUCGCACGGAAACAGCCGGAAUUCACACAGAAACCAACACAGGAACACCCGGAACUCACGGAAACAACCGGAAACCACCCCAGGAACAGCCGGAACUCACGGAAACACACGGAAUUCACACAAAAACACCCGGAAUUCACACGGAAACAACCGGAACUCACACGGAAACA
rnacentral:lncRNA from 1 species